GUAAAGUAAAAAAAAGUAAAAAAGCAAGGUAAUAUUAAAUUCAGACUAUUAAGCCAAUGCUGCAUACCAAGUUUGUUUAUUCUACCUCAAUUUCACAAUUAUUAACAGCAUUUCAUAAAUUGUACGUUUUUUUAAAACGUUAUACCCGAAAAAAAGGUUUUUUGAACUGGGACAUCGAAUUAUCUCACUAUUAAUAGUAAGAUAAGUACAUAAUAUACAUAACUUUUGCCUAUGUCACCUAAGAUCGCAUUAUAAAACUCUAUACUAAAAAAAUAAAGACGCUUCAUUAGAUUGCUAAGUCUCCCAACAUGUUACAAACACUAAUUACAAAUUACUUUUUU